rnacentral:rRNA from 1 species
AUUGACCUACGGGAGGCAGCAGUGAGGAAUAUUGGUCAAUGGUCGGGAGACUGAACCAGCCAAGCCGCGUGAGGGAUGAAGGUACAGAGUAUCGUAAACCUCUUUUGUCAGGGAACAAAGGCGGGGACGUGUCCCCGGAUGAGUGUACCUGGAGAAAAAGCAUCGGCUAACUCCGUGCCCGCAGCCGCGGUAAUACGGAGGAUGCGAGCGAUAUCCGGAUUUAUUGGGUUUAAAGAGUGUG